UACGGAGGGAGCUAGCGUUGUUCGGAAUUACUGGGCGUAAAGCGCGCGUAGGCGGCUUUGUAAGUUAGAGGUGAAAGCCCGGGGCUCAACUCCGGAACUGCCUUUAAGACUGCAUCGCUUGAAUCCGGGAGAGGUGAGUGGAAUUCCGAGUGUAGAGGUGAAAUUCGUAGAUAUUCGGAAGAACACCAGUGGCGAAGGCGGCUCACUGGACCGGCAUUGACGCUCAUGUGCGAAAGCGUGGGGAGCAAAC
rnacentral:rRNA from 1 species